GACGAACGCUGGCGGCGUGCUUAACACAUGCAAGUCGAACGGAAAGGCCCUGCUUUUGUGGGGUGCUCGAGUGGCGAACGGGUGAGUAACACGUGAGUAACCUGCCCUUGACUUUGGGAUAACUUCAGGAAACUGGGGCUAAUACCGGAUAGGAGCUCCUGCUGCAUGGUGGGGGUUGGAAAGUUUCGGCGGUUGGGGAUGGACUCGCGGCUUAUCAGCUUGUUGGUGGGGUAGUGGCUUACCAAGGCUUUGACGGGUAGCCGGCCUGAGAGGGUGACCGGCCGCAGUGGGACGGAGAUAGGCCGCAGACUCCUAGGGGGGGAAGCGGUGGGAAAUAGGGCAAAGGGGGGGGAGGCUGGAGGCGGCAGCCCCGGGUGGGGAAUGGGGGCUUUGGGGUUGAAAACGGCUUUCGCCUGAGAAGAAGGGGGAGUGAGGGAAGGGGAUAAAGAAGCCCCGGCUAACCACGUG
rnacentral:rRNA from 1 species